UUUACUCUUCAUAUUCAUCAACAAUUAUUAAACAAUUAAUCACCUUUACAUAUUCAUCAUCAACAAUCAUCAAACAAUUAUCACCAUAAGAAAACAACAUUGUUUCUUAAAGCACAAUUCACAUAAUAGACGGACAAUCACCCACAUCAUGACACCCAACAUAUUAUACAUCCGUCACUCAUUGAUUCAUUCUUAUUUCAUCAUGUUAUCAUGAGUAUAAGCCAUUUGCAAGUUAUCAAAUCAUAAUUCCUCAUUUUGCCAAAGUUCGUUUAUUUCCACAAAAAUCGUCUAUUUUCAAUUAUCUCACCAAAAUUAGGAUAUCAUGCUCUUACAUAUCAACAAAACAAUCAUAUAUAUAUAUAUAUAAUCUAACACCAUACUAGUUCAAUCAUAGAAUCUUCAUUUCAUAAAGUUCGUUUAUUUCUCAAAAUUCACAAAGUUCGUCUCAUUUUCUUACUCUUACCAAGUCCAUCUAUUUCAUCAUUUCUCAACAUUGUAUCCAAUAUCAAAUUAGAUUAUGUUAGACCAAUCAUUAUCAAAGAACAUAGGUAAGAUAACCCAUCUGAUUAAUAAAAAGCAUGCCAACCACACGUAAGAACAAGGUCAAUGGGGGAUAUAACUUACUCACAACAUGCAUAAAAAUAAAACAUUUAGCCUUUCAUAAGUCUUCAACCUAAUAAUUCCUU
rnacentral:lncRNA from 1 species